rnacentral:rRNA from 1 species
GGCUACGGCCAUAUCACGAUGAAUGAACCCAUCCCGUCCGAUUUGAGAAGUUAAGCAUCGUCGAGCCACAUCAGUACUGAGGUUGGAGACAACUUGGGAACCUGUGGUGCUGUAGUCU